rnacentral:rRNA from 1 species
GACGAACGCUGGCGGCGUGCUUAACACAUGCAAGUCGAACGGUAAGGCCCUUCGGGGUACACGAGUGGCGAACGGGUGAGUAACACGUGGGUGAUCUGCCCUGCACUUCGGGAUAAGCCUGGGAAACUGGGUCUAAUGCCGGAUAGGACCACUGCCUGCAUGGGUGGUGGUGGAAAGCUUUUGCGGUGUGGGAUGGGCCCGCGGCCUAUCAGCUUGUUGGUGGGGUGAUGGCCUACCAAGGCGACGACGGGUAGCCGGCCUGAGAGGGUGACCGGCCACACUGGGACUGAGAUACGGCCCAGACUCCUACGGGAGGCAGCAGUGGGGAAUAUUGCACAAUGGGCGCAAGCCUGAUGCAGCGACGCCGCGUGAGGAUGACGGCCUUCGGGUUGUAAACCUCUUUCAGCACCGACGAAGCGCAAGUGACGGUAGGUGCAGAAGAAGGACCGGCCAACUACGUGCCAGCAGCCGCAGUAA